rnacentral:lncRNA from 1 species
ACUGGGGACGCGCUGGUCGCCGGGGAUGGCUGCGGCUUCGGCGCUUAACGGUAUCGGGAUCUUCCUUCUUUGCUGUUGCCGACUAGGAGUGCUCAGAUUUGAUACGCUGUAGGGCCAGUGCUGCUGCAAAAUUGCUGUUUGGGGGUGUAUUGAACUGAUUCGAUUAGUAUCGAGCCGUCGUUACCUCUUAGCUGUGAUUUCAUCUUGCUUCGUUACUGUACUUGCUGUGCGAACUUUUACGGAUCCAGUUUAGCUUUUUAGUAUUUCUUUUGAAAUUAGCAACUUAAUCUGCUUGGUGGUUCUUAUUUGUUUGCUUGUUAGUGAGCCAAUAUCUAAUUUUAGGUCUGGGUCAGCAACGACUUGGGAGUCGAUAUUGGAUAAACGGGAAUCAAGCUCUCUAAGACAUCUAAUCUUGCUGAUUCAUAGGGGCUCUACUGAUUCAUAUAUUGACCCAGUGGCGAUGUUUCGGCUUGCUGGACAUUUGGAAUCAUCUAGUGCCACUGAUUUGUGACAAGGUCUUGUUAAUGACCUUCUCAUGCCUAUAUUUUCUUGAGUUGAAUCAGCAACCUUUUUGGUGAAGCUUCUCACUGGCAUUUUUUUUUCACGUCGUUGAUGUUUAACAAAGUUGCCUUAAAAUAG